rnacentral:rRNA from 1 species
UACGUAGGGGGCAAGCGUUGUCCGGAAUCAUUGGGCGUAAAGGGCGCGUAGGCGGCGCGGAUAGUCGGCGGUGAAAGCCCGGAGCUCAACUCCGGGUCGGCCGUCGAUACUUCCGGGCUUGAGCACUGUAGAGGCAGAUGGAAUUCCGGGUGGUAGCGGUGGAAUGCGUAGAGAUCCGGAAGAACACCGGUGGCGAAGGCGGUCUGCUGGGCAGUUGCUGACGCUGAUGCGCGACAGCGUGGGGAGCAAACAGG